ACAACAAAAAACUCAUUUCAUCAAUCACUUCAAAUCAUUUUCUUUUGGGAAAUGGCUUCUAAUGUUAAAGCAUCAACUGCUCUUGUUCUUUCUCUUAACCUUCUUUUCUUUGCUUUUGUAAGCUCUCACAACGUGGAAAACCCCGUUUUUAUUCAUCCCGGAGAUGUGUACCAUAAUGGCAGAAUCACUCAUGGUCAUCCCGGUACAUGCAAUCCCCUAAAUCUCGGUGUAUGCCUUGGCCUGUUGGAUUUGGUGGGUGUUAGUGUCGGAAACGUACCUACAGAACCAUGUUGCAGCGUGAUUCAAGGAUUGGUCGAUCUUGAAGCUGCAGUUUGCCUUUGCACUGCUGUCAGAGCAGAUGUGUUGGGCAUUCCCAUCCACCUUCCUAUUUCAUUGAGCCUCUUACUCAAUAAAUGUGGAAGAGAAGUAGCUACGGAAUACAUUUGCAGCCCUUAAAUAGCCUUCUUCCCCACAUUCUUUGCUUUAAUUGUGUCUUGAAGUUUCCGUUUUCUAUUUGUUCCAUUUUUUAUGUUUCCUUUCUGAUUAAGUCUUUGUAUUGUUGCUCAUGAGUUGAGGAAGGCUUUUCAACCUUCCCUUUCAUUUUUAUUCUAAAUAAAAUGAGAAUAUUAUUUGAACAAAAAAUCCUAUUUUAUCAUAAUGAGUUGGAAGGGGUGUUUUUAGGGGGAAAAAUCAUAAUUAAUAUUUUCAACAUUAUUUUUAAUGUUAUAUGACUACCAAGUGGAUUUUUUAGCUCAAGGUGUCAAACCAGUGAAUUUAAUAGAAGAAUUUUAACAGCUGUGACUGUUGGACUUGAAUUUCUAUAUUCAUAAAAUACAGAGAUUAGAUUCCUCAAAAUACAAGUAGGAGACUAACCUCCUAAUGCACGAAGCGUACAUAUACUUAGAGCAUAUUUUAACCUCCCAAUCAAUUAAUCAAUCCAACGCGAAGCGUGGAAACCAUACCAGUUAGUGUAAAAAUAUUGAUCGCGUAUUUUUAUAUUUCAAUUUCUUUCCUAAAUACUCAGAUAUACAAAUUUUACUUGAAACUCUAUUCUAAUGUGCAAUGUUAUACAUAAACUUUGAUUUUGUGUAAUUUGGUUUCAUCCAAUUUUUAUAAAUCUCUAACACCAUUAGCAAUGCAACACCAUUUUAUAUGUAUAUGUUGCAUCCACAAAUAUUUAUAUUUAUAUUUAUGUGCUGUAAAAUAAAAUAAAUCGAUGUAUUUAUUUCUUUAAAUACAUAUAGUUGAAUUAAAAUCAAAGUUUCAACUAUACAUUUGAACCGCGAUUAAAUUUUCGUGCGCAUAAUUUCACCAAAUUAAAGUCGGUGUAUCAAAGUUCACAUUCAAUCAAAUUUCAUGUACAAUUUUGAGUUUUAUCCCUUUACUUAGAGACCAGCUACAUUACUUAUUUCAAGUGUUUUACUGAGUUGGUGUGUAAUGUGGGUUCCUAUUUAAGCCAUCAAUUAAAGAAAGAAAAAUGCAUAUGUUGAGCCGAGGGACAGAAAACAUAAAAAAUGGUAAAUGCAGUUGUAGCCGUCUAGGUAAGUUUCUCGUUUUUUUUUCUUUUUCUACCUAACUAUUAAAACUUAAAAAAUGGUCAUUCAACUGUUAGACUUCUCCUUUUAUGGUCACCAGCCAUUAAAUGGCUAAUGGGAAGAUGAUGUAGCGGAUUAUAGAAUUGACAUAAAAGAAACUUUAAACCUCAACCUUUAUACACCGUGCCAAAUUAGUGUUGAUUCUAAAAAAUUAACCCUCAAUGUUUUCACAUUGUGUAAUUUGGUCUUCUUCUUCUUUUUCAAACUUUCAAUUCUUUGUGACCCUUUCACUAAAAAGCUAAAAAAGAAUAUAAAUCCAUCAACUAAAUUUGAUCGGAGAUACAACAAAAACACUCGAAAAUCAAAGAUGAUAAUUUUUGCAUCUUUUCUUUCUCUCAAAAUUAGCCCUCAAUGUCACAAAUAAAAGUAAAAUUGCGAGAGAGAGAGAGAGAGAGAGAGCUAGAGACCUAAUUACACAACGUUUACAUGUUGAAGGUAAAGAUUUUUGGGAUCAAGACUAUAUUGACACAAUGUAGAAAUGUUCAGGGUUAAAGUUGCUAUUACGCCAACUGUAAAAGAUGUCAAGUUAUCUUUUCGUUAAUAAUUUAACAGCUGGUGACCAGAAAAGAAAAUUUCGAAUAAUUGGGUGACCAGAAAAGAAAAUCUCGAAUAGUUGGGUGAUCAUUUUGUAACUUUGCGUUGUUGGGUGACCAUGACAACUCUCAUAUUUAGAGUUAUUUUAGUAUAGUUUUUUUUAUAGAAUUUUAGGGGGUAAGUUGAGCAUUUAGGUUAAAUUUUAGUACAUUUUAUAGUUUUUCAGAUUAAUUAUAUUUUAUCUGAGUUUUAUCAUUUUUAGAGUUAGUUUGGAUUCGUGUGCUAUCUUCCUCUCUAUAUUGUAAGUUUCGGAUGAAGAACGGGGGCCUUGGAGCACGGGGUAAAAUAUAGUGAAGAGAAAUCAUCUGCUCCACCAAACUUGAUUCAGUGUGGUGGAGCACAAUCUUCAAUUAAGAAUUCCAGAUAGCAAGCAGCCCACUCCACUGCGAAUUCUACGUCUGGUGGAGCCAAGCGAUUAAUACCCUAAAAAUAGAGGGUGACGUGAUUAAGCGGAAUAGGAGAGGAAAAUGAGUGAAAAAAAAGAACUUGGAGGCGAAGGAACAAUUCUCUUACACUAAUGGGAGCUUCAACCUUGCAAAGACGAGAAGAAAAAGAGAUCUGGAGCGCUUGGCUUUAGUUCGACGAUUAUUUUUAUCUCUAGAUUAUUUUAUUUUUACUUUUUUUUCAAAGCAAGUUUGUUUUGAGUUUCUUCUUGUGAUGUUUUCUCAACGCAACAAGAAAUAAAAUCUAUUUUCUUGGAAUGAUGAUGAAUCAUAUUUUUUAGUUAAUUAAAUAUUUUCUCUUCAACUGUUUCAAUCUCUGUUAAUUAUUUAUUCAGCUUUAUGCUUAUUUACUCUGUUUGUCCGGCCACCAAGUCGUAUUAAUUUGGUGGUCUUGAUUUGUCGUAGAAGAGAAAAAUUAAGGUUUAGGUCUAGACUAAAUAGAUUAGGAUUAACUAUAGUAGCGCUGACGAAUGAGUUAAUUUACAGCUAGGAUAGGAAUAUACCUGAUGCGCAAAUCAACCCAAUAAGCUUUUCCGUAGUGGCGUUGCUCGACUUGCCUAGCACAAGAAUAUAGCUGGUGGGGGAGGGGGAUUAACUUAGCUAGAUAUUGGGAGGGUCUAGUUAAUGCCACAGAAUCAUAGGUUAAUAAUUGUAUAGACUGAACAAUUGAAUGAGAGAUAAUUGAUUAACAUAAUUAGGUAAAUUAGAGUUCCAAGAUCUUUCAAAAUCGAUUGAGAAACUUAGUAAUUUUCAUUUUUUUUUAUGUAGUUUAAUAAAAUCUCUUUAAUUCCUUUAGCUUAACUUCAGUAGUAAUUAGAAUUUCUUUUUUUGAUCCAGAUUGGAAGAAAUUGGAUAAUUGAUAUUUAGCAGCUUAAAAUUAAAUUUGGCCCUCAUAGGAAGGGCAUCAUCUUAUCACUGUAUUACUUGAUCAAUACGUGCACUUACAUAAUAAAGUUUCCCACAUAAAACCAGAAAAGAAAUUAACUAGUAAAGGAGUGGCUACCUAUAUAGUUUACCACACCAUUAGUCCUGUUGAGCAGCUCAAAGAUUUUAACAUAUAUAUAUAUAUAUUUAUGACAGAAACCUUAAUUAGGCCAUGCAUGUCUGCAAAUAUAAUAUAUAUAUACAUAUACUAACAACGUUGUACUCAUGUUACUAAUUAAAUCGAUUAAAGAUGCCUUGUGAUAAAGAAUUCAUCCAUCAUAGACGUGGGAGAAUUUUGCCAGCCAAACAGAUACUCCAAGAUCCAAGAUUCUCCAACUAAUCAGACUUCGUGCCUCCCAUUUUCUAGUUCUAAAAAAGCUUCAAAGUUCAUACAUUCCAGCUAUAAAAACCCUUUGCUCCCUUCGCCACCUUCAUCGGCAGUUCCAGCUUAAUUUCUCACAACAAAAAACUCAUUUCAUCAAUCACUUCAAAUCAUUUUCUUUUGGGAAAUGGCUUCUAAUGUUAAAGCAUCAACUGCUCUUGUUCUUUCUCUUAACCUUCUUUUCUUUGCUUUUGUAAGCUCUCACAACGUGGAAACCCCCGUUUUUAUUCAUCCCGGAGAUGUGUACCAUAAUGGCAGAAUCACUCAUGGUCAUCCCGGUACAUGCAAUCCCCUAAAUCUCGGUGUAUGCCUUGGCCUGUUGGAUUUGGUGGGUGUUAGUGUCGGAAACGUACCUACAGAACCAUGUUGCAGCGUGAUUCAAGGAUUGGUAGAUCUUGAAGCUGCAGUUUGCCUUUGCACUGCUGUCAGAGCCAAUGUGUUGGGCAUUCCCAUCCACCUUCCUAUUUCAUUGAGCCUCUUACUCAAUAAAUGUGGAAGAGAAGUAGCUACGGAAUACAUUUGCAGCCCUUAAAUAGCCUUCUUCCCCACAUUCUUUGCUUUAAUUGUGUCUUGAAGUUUCCGUUUUCUAUUUGUUCCAUUUUUUAUGUUUCCUUUCUGAUUAAGUCUUUGUAUUGUUGCUCAUGAGUUGAGGACGGCUUUCAACCUUCCCUUUCAUUUUUAUUCUAAAUAAAAUGAGAAUAUUAUUUGAACAAAAAAUCCUAUUUUAUCAUAAUGAGUUGGAAGGGGUGUUUUUAGGGGGAAAAAUCAUAAUUAAUAUUUUCAACAUUAUUUUUAAUGUUAUAUGACUACCAAGUGGAUUUUUUAGCUCAAGGUGUCAAACCAGUGAAUUUAAUAGAAGAAUUUUAACAGCUGUGACUGUUGGACUUGAAUUUCUAUAUUCAUAAAAUACAGAGAUUAGAUUCCUCAAAAUACAAGUAGGAGACUAACCUCCUAAUGCACGAAGCGUACAUAUACUUAGAGCAUAUUUUAACCUCCCAAUCAAUUAAUCAAUCCAACGCGAAGCGUGGAAACCAUACCAGUUAGUGUAAAAAUAUUGAUCGCGUAUUUUUAUAUUUCAAUUUCUUUCCUAAAUACUCAGAUAUACAAAUUUUACUUGAAACUCUAUUUUAAUGUGCAAUGUUAUAUAUAAACUUUGAUUUUGUGUAAUUUGGUUUCAUCCAAUUUUUAUAAAUCUCUAACACCAUUAGCAAUGCAACACCAUUUUAUAUGUAUAUGUUGCAUCCACAAAUAUUUAUAUUUAUAUUUAUGUGAUGUAAAAUAAAAUAAAUCGAUGUAUUUAUUUCUUUAAAUACAUAUAGUUGAAUUAAAAUCAAAGUUUCAACUAUACAUUUGAACCGCGAUUAAAUUUUCGUGCGCAUAAUUUCACCAAAUUAAAGUCGGUGUAUCAAAGUUCACAUUCAAUCAAAUUUCAUGUACAAUUUUGAGUUUUAUCCCUUUACUUAGAGACCAGCUACAUUACUUAUUUCAAGUGUUUUACUGAGUUGGUGUGUAAUGUGGGUUCCUAUUUAAGCCAUCAAUUAAAGAAAGAAAAAUGCAUAUGUUGAGCCGAGGGACAGAAAACAUAAAAAAUGGUAAAUGCAGUUGUAGCCGUCUAGGUAAGUUUCUCGUUUUUUUUUCUUUUUCUACCUAACUAUUAAAACUUAAAAAAUGGUCAUUCAACUGUUAGACUUCUCCUUUUAUGGUCACCAGCCAUUAAAUGGCUAAUGGGAAGAUGAUGUAGCGGAUUAUAGAAUUGACAUAAAAGAAACUUUAAACCUCAACCUUUAUACACCGUGCCAAAUUAGUGUUGAUUCUAAAAAAUUAACCCUCAAUGUUUUCACAUUGUGUAAUUUGGUCUUCUUCUUCUUUUUCAAACUUUCAAUUCUUUGUGACCCUUUCACCUAAAGAGCUAAAAAAGAAUAUAAAUCCAUCAACUAAAUUUGAUCGGAGAGACAACAAAAACACUCGAAAAUCAAAGAUGAUAAUUUUUGCAUCUUUUCUUUCUCUCAAAAUUAGCCCUCAAUGUCACAAAUAAAAGUAAAAUUGCGAGAGAGAGAGAGAGAGAGAGCUAGAGACCUAAUUACACAACGUUUACAUGUUGAAGGUAAAGAUUUUUGGGAUCAAGACUAUAUUGACACAAUGUAGAAAUGUUCAGGGUUAAAGUUGCUAUUACGCCAACUGUAAAAGAUGUCAAGUUAUCUUUUCGUUAAUAAUUUAACAGCUGGUGACCAGAAAAGAAAAUUUCGAAUAAUUGGGUGACCAGAAAAGAAAAUCUCGAAUAGUUGGGUGAUCAUUUUGUAACUUUGCGUUGUUGGGUGACCAUGACAACUCUCAUAUUUAGAGUUAUUUUAGUAUAGUUUUUUUUAUAGAAUUUUAGGGGGUAAGUUGAGCAUUUAGGUUAAAUUUUAGUACAUUUUAUAGUUUUUCAGAUUAAUUAUAUUUUAUCUGAGUUUUAUCAUUUUUAGAGUUAGUUUGGAUUCGUGUGCUAUCUUCCUCUCUAUAUUGUAAGUUUCGGAUGAAGAACGGGGGCCUUGGAGCACGGGGUAAAAUAUAGUGAAGAGAAAUCAUCUGCUCCACCAAACUUGAUUCAGUGUGGUGGAGCACAAUCUUCAAUUAAGAAUUCCAGAUAGCAAGCAGCCCACUCCACUGCGAAUUCUACGUCUGGUGGAGCCAAGCGAUUAAUACCCUAAAAAUAGAGGGUGACGUGAUUAAGCGGAAUAGGAGAGGAAAAUGAGUGAAAAAAAAGAACUUGGAGGCGAAGGAACAAUUCUCUUACACUAAUGGGAGCUUCAACCUUGCAAAGACGAGAAGAAAAAGAGAUCUGGAGCGCUUGGCUUUAGUUCGACGAUUAUUUUUAUCUCUAGAUUAUUUUAUUUUUACUUUUUUUUCAAAGCAAGUUUGUUUUGAGUUUCUUCUUGUGAUGUUUUCUCAACGCAACAAGAAAUAAAAUCUAUUUUCUUGGAAUGAUGAUGAAUCAUAUUUUUUAGUUAAUUAAAUAUUUUCUCUUCAACUGUUUCAAUCUCUGUUAAUUAUUUAUUCAGCUUUAUGCUUAUUUACUCUGUUUGUCCGGCCACCAAGUCGUAUUAAUUUGGUGGUCUUGAUUUGUCGUAGAAGAGAAAAAUUAAGGUUUAGGUCUAGACUAAAUAGAUUAGGAUUAACUAUAGUAGCGCUGACGAAUGAGUUAAUUUACAGCUAGGAUAGGAAUAUACCUGAUGCGCAAAUCAACCCAAUAAGCUUUUCCGUAGUGGCGUUGCUCGACUUGCCUAGCACAAGAAUAUAGCUGGUGGGGGAGGGGGAUUAACUUAGCUAGAUAUUGGGAGGGUCUAGUUAAUGCCACAGAAUCAUAGGUUAAUAAUUGUAUAGACUGAACAAUUGAAUGAGAGAUAAUUGAUUAACAUAAUUAGGUAAAUUAGAGUUCCAAGAUCUUUCAAAAUCGAUUGAGAAACUUAGUAAUUUUCAUUUUUUUUUAUGUAGUUUAAUAAAAUCUCUUUAAUUCCUUUAGCUUAACUUCAGUAGUAAUUAGAAUUUCUUUUUUUGAUCCAGAUUGGAAGAAAUUGGAUAAUUGAUAUUUAGCAGCUUAAAAUUAAAUUUGGCCCUCAUAGGAAGGGCAUCAUCUUAUCACUGUAUUACUUGAUCAAUACGUGCACUUACAUAAUAAAGUUUCCCACAUAAAACCAGAAAAGAAAUUAACUAGUAAAGGAGUGGCUACCUAUAUAGUUUACCACACCAUUAGUCCUGUUGAGCAGCUCAAAGAUUUUAACAUAUAUAUAUAUAUAUAUUUAUGACAGAAACCUUAAUUAGGCCAUGCAUGUCUGCAAAUAUAAUAUAUAUAUACAUAUACUAACAACGUUGUACUCAUGUUACUAAUUAAAUCGAUUAAAGAUGCCUUGUGAUAAAGAAUUCAUCCAUCAUAGACGUGGGAGAAUUUUGCCAGCCAAACAGAUACUCCAAGAUCCAAGAUUCUCCAACUAAUCAGACUUCGUGCCUCCCAUUUUCUAGUUCUAAAAAAGCUUCAAAGUUCAUACAUUCCAGCUAUAAAAACCCUUUGCUCCCUUCGCCACCUUCAUCGGCAGUUCCAGCUUAAUUUCUCACAACAAAAAACUCAUUUCAUCAAUCACUUCAAAUCAUUUUCUUUUGGGAAAUGGCUUCUAAUGUUAAAGCAUCAACUGCUCUUGUUCUUUCUCUUAACCUUCUUUUCUUUGCUUUUGUAAGCUCUCACAACGUGGAAACCCCCGUUUUUAUUCAUCCCGGAGAUGUGUACCAUAAUGGCAGAAUCACUCAUGGUCAUCCCGGUACAUGCAAUCCCCUAAAUCUCGGUGUAUGCCUUGGCCUGUUGGAUUUGGUGGGUGUUAGUGUCGGAAACGUACCUACAGAACCAUGUUGCAGCGUGAUUCAAGGAUUGGUCGAUCUUGAAGCUGCAGUUUGCCUUUGCACUGCUGUCAGAGCCAAUGUGUUGGGCAUUCCCAUCCAGCUUCCUAUUUCAUUGAGCCUCUUACUCAAUAAAUGUGGAAGAGAAGUAGCUACGGAAUACAUUUGCAGCCCUUAAAUAGCCUUCUUCCCCACAUUCUUUGCUUUAAUUGUGUCUUGAAGUUUCCGUUUUCUAUUUGUUCCAUUUUUUAUGUUUCCUUUCUGAUUAAGUCUUUGUAUUGUUGCUCAUGAGUUGAGGACGGCUUUCAACCUUCCCUUUCAUUUUUAUUCUAAAUAAAAUGAGAAUAUUAUUUGAACAAAAAAUCCUAUUUUAUCAUAAUGAGUUGGAAGGGGUGUUUUUAGGGGGAAAAAUCAUAAUUAAUAUUUUCAACAUUAUUUUUAAUGUUAUAUGACUACCAAGUGGAUUUUUUAGCUCAAGGUGUCAAACCAGUGAAUUUAAUAGAAGAAUUUUAACAGCUGUGACUGUUGGACUUGAAUUUCUAUAUUCAUAAAAUACAGAGAUUAGAUUCCUCAAAAUACAAGUAGGAGACUAACCUCCUAAUGCACGAAGCGUACAUAUACUUAGAGCAUAUUUUAACCUCCCAAUCAAUUAAUCAAUCCAACGCGAAGCGUGGAAACCAUACCAGUUAGUGUAAAAAUAUUGAUCGCGUAUUUUUAUAUUUCAAUUUCUUUCCUAAAUACUCAGAUAUACAAAUUUUACUUGAAACUCUAUUCUAAUGUGCAAUGUUAUACAUAAACUUUGAUUUUGUGUAAUUUGGUUUCAUCCAAUUUUUAUAAAUCUCUAACACCAUUAGCAAUGCAACACCAUUUUAUAUGUAUAUGUUGCAUCCACAAAUAUUUAUAUUUAUAUUUAUGUGCUGUAAAAUAAAAUAAAUCGAUGUAUUUAUUUCUUUAAAUACAUAUAGUUGAAUUAAAAUCAAAGUUUCAACUAUACAUUUGAACCGCGAUUAAAUUUUCGUGCGCAUAAUUUCACCAAAUUAAAGUCGGUGUAUCAAAGUUCACAUUCAAUCAAAUUUCAUGUACAAUUUUGAGUUUUAUCCCUUUACUUAGAGACCAGCUACAUUACUUAUUUCAAGUGUUUUACUGAGUUGGUGUGUAAUGUGGGUUCCUAUUUAAGCCAUCAAUUAAAGAAAGAAAAAUGCAUAUGUUGAGCCGAGGGACAGAAAACAUAAAAAAUGGUAAAUGCAGUUGUAGCCGUCUAGGUAAGUUUCUCGUUUUUUUUUCUUUUUCUACCUAACUAUUAAAACUUAAAAAAUGGUCAUUCAACUGUUAGACUUCUCCUUUUAUGGUCACCAGCCAUUAAAUGGCUAAUGGGAAGAUGAUGUAGCGGAUUAUAGAAUUGACAUAAAAGAAACUUUAAACCUCAACCUUUAUACACCGUGCCAAAUUAGUGUUGAUUCUAAAAAAUUAACCCUCAAUGUUUUCACAUUGUGUAAUUUGGUCUUCUUCUUCUUUUUCAAACUUUCAAUUCUUUGUGACCCUUUCACCUAAAGAGCUAAAAAAGAAUAUAAAUCCAUCAACUAAAUUUGAUCGGAGAUACAACAAAAACACUCGAAAAUCAAAGAUGAUAAUUUUUGCAUCUUUUCUUUCUCUCAAAAUUAGCCCUCAAUGUCACAAAUAAAAGUAAAAUUGCGAGAGAGAGAGAGAGAGAGAGCUAGAGACCUAAUUACACAACGUUUACAUGUUGAAGGUAAAGAUUUUUGGGAUCAAGACUAUAUUGACACAAUGUAGAAAUGUUCAGGGUUAAAGUUGCUAUUACGCCAACUGUAAAAGAUGUCAAGUUAUCUUUUCGUUAAUAAUUUAACAGCUGGUGACCAGAAAAGAAAAUUUCGAAUAAUUGGGUGACCAGAAAAGAAAAUCUCGAAUAGUUGGGUGAUCAUUUUGUAACUUUGCGUUGUUGGGUGACCAUGACAACUCUCAUAUUUAGAGUUAUUUUAGUAUAGUUUUUUUUAUAGAAUUUUAGGGGGUAAGUUGAGCAUUUAGGUUAAAUUUUAGUACAUUUUAUAGUUUUUCAGAUUAAUUAUAUUUUAUCUGAGUUUUAUCAUUUUUAGAGUUAGUUUGGAUUCGUGUGCUAUCUUCCUCUCUAUAUUGUAAGUUUCGGAUGAAGAACGGGGGCCUUGGAGCACGGGGUAAAAUAUAGUGAAGAGAAAUCAUCUGCUCCACCAAACUUGAUUCAGUGUGGUGGAGCACAAUCUUCAAUUAAGAAUUCCAGAUAGCAAGCAGCCCACUCCACUGCGAAUUCUACGUCUGGUGGAGCCAAGCGAUUAAUACCCUAAAAAUAGAGGGUGACGUGAUUAAGCGGAAUAGGAGAGGAAAAUGAGUGAAAAAAAAGAACUUGGAGGCGAAGGAACAAUUCUCUUACACUAAUGGGAGCUUCAACCUUGCAAAGACGAGAAGAAAAAGAGAUCUGGAGCGCUUGGCUUUAGUUCGACGAUUAUUUUUAUCUCUAGAUUAUUUUAUUUUUACUUUUUUUUCAAAGCAAGUUUGUUUUGAGUUUCUUCUUGUGAUGUUUUCUCAACGCAACAAGAAAUAAAAUCUAUUUUCUUGGAAUGAUGAUGAAUCAUAUUUUUUAGUUAAUUAAAUAUUUUCUCUUCAACUGUUUCAAUCUCUGUUAAUUAUUUAUUCAGCUUUAUGCUUAUUUACUCUGUUUGUCCGGCCACCAAGUCGUAUUAAUUUGGUGGUCUUGAUUUGUCGUAGAAGAGAAAAAUUAAGGUUUAGGUCUAGACUAAAUAGAUUAGGAUUAACUAUAGUAGCGCUGACGAAUGAGUUAAUUUACAGCUAGGAUAGGAAUAUACCUGAUGCGCAAAUCAACCCAAUAAGCUUUUCCGUAGUGGCGUUGCUCGACUUGCCUAGCACAAGAAUAUAGCUGGUGGGGGAGGGGGAUUAACUUAGCUAGAUAUUGGGAGGGUCUAGUUAAUGCCACAGAAUCAUAGGUUAAUAAUUGUAUAGACUGAACAAUUGAAUGAGAGAUAAUUGAUUAACAUAAUUAGGUAAAUUAGAGUUCCAAGAUCUUUCAAAAUCGAUUGAGAAACUUAGUAAUUUUCAUUUUUUUUUAUGUAGUUUAAUAAAAUCUCUUUAAUUCCUUUAGCUUAACUUCAGUAGUAAUUAGAAUUUCUUUUUUUGAUCCAGAUUGGAAGAAAUUGGAUAAUUGAUAUUUAGCAGCUUAAAAUUAAAUUUGGCCCUCAUAGGAAGGGCAUCAUCUUAUCACUGUAUUACUUGAUCAAUACGUGCACUUACAUAAUAAAGUUUCCCACAUAAAACCAGAAAAGAAAUUAACUAGUAAAGGAGUGGCUACCUAUAUAGUUUACCACACCAUUAGUCCUGUUGAGCAGCUCAAAGAUUUUAACAUAUAUAUAUAUAUAUAUUUAUGACAGAAACCUUAAUUAGGCCAUGCAUGUCUGCAAAUAUAAUAUAUAUAUACAUAUACUAACAACGUUGUACUCAUGUUACUAAUUAAAUCGAUUAAAGAUGCCUUGUGAUAAAGAAUUCAUCCAUCAUAGACGUGGGAGAAUUUUGCCAGCCAAACAGAUACUCCAAGAUCCAAGAUUCUCCAACUAAUCAGACUUCGUGCCUCCCAUUUUCUAGUUCUAAAAAAGCUUCAAAGUUCAUACAUUCCAGCUAUAAAAACCCUUUGCUCCCUUCGCCACCUUCAUCGGCAGUUCCAGCUUAAUUUCUCACAACAAAAAACUCAUUUCAUCAAUCACUUCAAAUCAUUUUCUUUUGGGAAAUGGCUUCUAAUGUUAAAGCAUCAACUGCUCUUGUUCUUUCUCUUAACCUUCUUUUCUUUGCUUUUGUAAGCUCUCACAACGUGGAAACCCCCGUUUUUAUUCAUCCCGGAGAUGUGUACCAUAAUGGCAGAAUCACUCAUGGUCAUCCCGGUACAUGCAAUCCCCUAAAUCUCGGUGUAUGCCUUGGCCUGUUGGAUUUGGUGGGUGUUAGUGUCGGAAACGUACCUACAGAACCAUGUUGCAGCGUGAUUCAAGGAUUGGUCGAUCUUGAAGCUGCAGUUUGCCUUUGCACUGCUGUCAGAGCCAAUGUGUUGGGCAUUCCCAU
rnacentral:lncRNA from 1 species